ACCUUCGAAGAACACUCGGGGAAAAAGACCUCGAACUGUUGUUGAAAAUUCGGACUCAGAUUUUGAGUUGGAUUCUGAAUUUCUUAAGUCGCCUGUUUCUGUUAAGGUAUUUUACUAUUUAUCUGUUGUUGUUUUUGAGGUUUUUUGUUUUUUUGUUAAAUUCGCUAUUUGAGGUUCAUAUAUCUGGGUAUUUGUUUGUUUUUGUUUAUGUAUUUGUAAUUGUUUUAUAUAUAUUGUUCGAUUUUAUUUAUGUGUUUUUGUCAAUUUUUUAUUUGUUGUUUUGUUGGUGUUGUUAUUUUUUAUUUUAGGGCAAGGGUAAAUCCCCUGUGAAGGUGGUUCCAUCAUCAGGUGUUUCUGAAGAAAUUCCUGUUAAUAGGAUUGUUGAGGUUUGUGAUGUUAUGCAUUCUGUUCUAUGUUUUUUUGUUGUUUUUUUGUUGUUGUUAUUUUCGUAGUGUUUUUUGGUGUUUUAUCAGUGUUUUCAUUGUUCUGUUUUUUAGGAUUGGGAAUGCAAGUACACUCGAUCUCAAUUUUAUCAUUCUAGAGUAGUAACAUCUGGUUAUUACUCUGUACUUUGUGACAUUAAGAGAAUUUUAACUGAAAGCCAAUUGGAAAUUUUUUUCAAAAUCUGUGUUUGGUUAUUUUCUUCGAAUUCCUGAGUACAUAAUUCAUUACCAAUUGCUGCAUUGUUUGCUGUUGAGGGAGGUUCAGCAGCCUAAUGGGUUGGAGUUUUGGGUUUGUGUCCAAGGGAAAUACCUUAGGUUUAGUAUCGAAGAGUUUGCGUUGGUCACGGGGUUAGAUUGUCAUGUUGAUUCUGAUUUUUAUAAGUUUAAGCAAGAUGAUAAUGAAUUGGUCAAAUCUUGUUUUAAGGGGUACAAAAAAAUUACCAAGGCUGCUAUUCAGACUGCUUUUAUUGCUGACAAUCUUAAGGAUAACGACGAUCUUGCAGUCAAGUUGGCUGUAUUGUAUUUUGUGCAGUGUUAUUUGUUAGGUGGUCCCCCGGGUAAAGUUGUUUCGUUUGAGGAAAUAGAUGUUGUGGAUAGUGGUCGAUAUAAUGAAUUUGGGUGGGGCAAGCAUUGUUUUGAUAUCACUAUGCAUUCUUUGAAGGGUAAGAUAGAUUCUGGUUAUAAGAGGGUAGUUCGUAGUGACGAGGAUGGUGGGUAUUACAGGUUAUUGGGUUUUCCUUUGGCUAUUCAAUUCUGGUUUUUCGAGUGUUGCCCGUAUGUUAUUGGGAAACUAUCCUUGUACUCAAAUGUUGGCAUUCCAAGGAUUUUGAAUUGGCCUAAAUUACCCAAGGACAAGGAGGGUAUGGUGAAAAUGGAUGUCAUGAACACCCUCAUUUUCGAUCGGUCUUUGAAAGAGUUAAAAUUAAGAAACCUCACUCCAACUUCCGUUGAGAGAUUGAGUUUGAGCCUCACUGAUUUUUUCUCUGGUGAGACUACUCCCGAGGCUGUGAAAUUCAAAAUUAAAGGUGGUUCCAAGCCUGCUGGUCAACCUGGCUUGAUGGGUUCUUCUUCAUCAACUGCUCAUGAGAAUGUCUCCCGAGUUGAGUUUGAGGAAUUUAAAAAGUGUUUAUCUGUUGUUGUCAGCCAGCAAGGGAUUCUUAUGAAAUCUGUUGCUGAGAUGAACAAGAAGCUGGACAUUCUUAUUGAGUCAUCCCAAGGUGGUCCCACUCACAAUGGAUCUCAGUCUGAAGAUGCUCUUCGUACUUCAGAAAAUGAGGAUGAUGAAGAUUCCACUUCGGAGGAAGACGAGGAUGAUAAAUUCGACGAUGACAAAGGAGAUGAUCAUCAUGACGAUGAAACUGAUGAUGAUGAUGAUGAUCUGGGUGGAGAUGGUGUUGGUGCUGGUCAGGAUGAGGCUCACACGGGCGAUGUUCGUAACGAUGAGGGUGUUGUUGUCCCCGCGGUUGUUUCGAGGGAUGAUGAUACCGGCAAGGUCGAUGAUGCCAAGAAUUCUGAAACUGUGGAACCUAUUGCAGAUAUCAAACAGGUGUGUUUCUUGUUUGGACAUCAUUUUUGGUUUGUGCUUUUUUUUGUGUGUUUAUGUGUUUUGUGUUUGUUUUAAUAGUGUUUUACUGUUUUUUUUGUUAUCAGCCUGAUCAGUCUCAAGGUGGGGAGGAGAACAUUGAUGUUGAUGCAACAAUUGCAUCUGCUGUUAAAGCUGUGGAGAAUUUGGUUUGUGUUUAUGUUUUUUUUUUUUAUAUUUGUAUUUAUUUGGUAUUAUAUUGUUGUUUUUAUGGUGUUUUAAUUGUACUGUUUGAAAUUAAAACAUAAGUCUUUUUAUUUAUCCUUUCUCUUUUUUAGAUUGGUUCCUCAACUCAUGCCCCUGCUCCUGUUGACACUUCUGAGAAGACUAAUCUUGAAAUGGUUGUUUUUCAAGAGACUCCUAUUUUACGUCCUCAAAAGAGGGAUCGGAAGAAAGGAGCUGUUUUGAAAUCCCCAUUCAUUGAGCUUGCUUCUGGUGCAUCUAAAUCAGGUUCAUCCUCGGUUUCUCCUGAUGAUUCUGUGUAUAAGGUCGUUAAAUAUGUGCGUGGUUUGUGCCCGUUGGACAACAAGAUUGGUGAACCUGUUGAUCCGCAAUUGGAAGCUGAUUUUGUCAAGUGGGUUGAUUCAGGUCUUAGAAAGCACAAAUCUAAGUAAGUAUUUUUGUAGGUGUUUUCAGUUGUAUAUCUGUUAUUGUUUUCUAUUUAUUUUUAUUUUUUCAUUUCUGUUUUGAUAUUUUUUUAUUUGUUUUUUUUAGCACAACAACUAAUGUGUAUUGUAAGGGUAAGGACACUAUAUUUCCGCCAUUUCGUUUUGGUGUUGAGGACAUCAGCAACAAGAUGUGGUUUCACAACCUUGCCUACCCUAAUUGUUUCCUUACCAAUUCUCACAUUGACAUCAUUUUCUAUUAUCUUCGUAAGAAAAUAAUGUACUCAGCCGAGCCGAAAAUCAAAGUCACCACAACUGAUUGCCUCUUUUGUUCUAGCAUAACAACUUUGUAUGAGAGGUUUGUUGAGAAAAACAACGAUAUAUCGGUGUUGUCUCUUUCUCACAAUGUGGCCCAGUACAUUCAAGGUGGUAAGAUAUUAUGUGCCACUCCUUGGCAUUUGGUUGAUCAUGUUAUUAUGCCUAUCAAUGUAAAAUUACAGGAUCAUUGGAUUUGUGGUCGUCUUAACAUAGUUGACAGGCGCAUAUAUCUGUACAAUUCACUGCGUUCUGGGAGGUAUAUGACUGAUGCCAAAGAGGCUUGCAAGCCUUUCUCUGUUAUUUUACCAUAUUACUUCUCUAUGUUAGACUUCAAAGGCCUUCGCAACGAAACUAAGUUUAGCACUAUGGAACCGUUUCCUAUUGUUGCUGUUGAUGGUUUACCCGAGCAGGUCACAGCGUAAGUUUUAUGUUUAGUGUUCAAUGUUUUUUCACUGGUUGUUUGUAUUUUUAUUUUUUUGUUGUUGACUUUUGUUUUUUAUCAGUGUUUUCAUAGUGUCUUUUUUUGUGUUUUAUUGUUUUUUUUUCCAGUGAUUGUGGUGUUUUUGUUGCAUCAUUUGCUGAGUAUUUCAUUGAUGGCAAACCCAUCCCAUCCUCUGAUUUUGAUGUGGAAAUUCACCGCGAUCGUUUGGCUGCGUUAUUUUAUCAAUAUGGGAUGAAGAAGCAAACUGAGAACAUUGAAAGUGAAUCCGAGGCCCCUCCCAGCCUUCCCAAGAAGUGAUUUGCUUUUUCAAUCAGACUGUCAUUGUUCUUAUAGUUUUUUAAUGUUGUUGUAAUGUUUUUCAUGUUGUUUUUCGUAAACAAACAUUGGUGUUCUGUUGUUUUUC